AAUGAACGUUGGCGGCGUGGAUUAGGCAUGCAAGUCGUACGGGUCGGUGUAGCAAUACAACGGCAAGUGGCGAAAGGGAGAGUAACACGUAGGUACCUACCCUCUGGUCGGGGAUACCGCGGCAUAACCGCAAGUAAUACCCGAUAAAAUCUCCGGAGCAAAGGUGUGAUUCCGCCGGAGGAGGGGUCUGCGUUCUAUCAGCUUGUUGGUGAGGUAAUGGCUCACCAAGGCUAAGACGGAUACGGGGUGUGAGAGCAUGCCCCCGCUCACUGGGACUGAGACACUGCCCAGACACCUACGGGUGGCUGCAGUCGAGAAUCUUCGGCAAUGGGCGCAAGCCUGACCGAGCGACGCCGCGUGCGGGAUGAAGGCCUUCGGGUUGUAAACCGCUGUCGAGGGGAAUGAAGUGUAGGUGGGUACUCCCAUCUAUUUGACAGAUCCCUGGAGGAAGCAUGGGCUAAGUUCGUGCCAGCAGCCGCCGUAA
rnacentral:rRNA from 1 species